rnacentral:misc_RNA from 1 species
GAGCAGGUCUGUCCGAGCGUCUGCCACCCCGACAGGCCGUCACCCCACGGUGACGGGAUUGAGGAGCUGCAAGGUUGUAUUKUGGUGCACUCCUUGAAGAUGUGUUGUGAAUGUUGGGCCUCGACGGCCACGAGACAGUUGUCACUGUGGCAAGUUGUUUCGCUCUCGUGGAGCGCGCUGCUGUUAGCGACCAUCUGGACCUCGGAUCAGG